CACGUAGGGGCCAAGCGUUGUCCGGAUUUAUUGGGCGUAAAGAGCUCGUAGGCGGUUUGUCGCGUCUGCUGUGAAAAUCCAGGGCUUAACCCUGGACCUGCAGUGGGUACGGGCAGACUAGAGUGCGGUAGGGGAGAUCGGAAUUCCUGGUGUAGCGGUGAAAUGCGCAGAUAUCAGGAGGAACACCGGUGGCGAAGGCGGCCCCCUGGGCCGAACCUGACGCUGAGGCGCGAAGGCUAGGGGAGCGAACGGG
rnacentral:rRNA from 1 species